GUGUGAUGUAUGUUUAAGUGGAAAUACCAAGGAUCCCAUUGAUCCUGGUGAUAUGUAUAUACUCCUGUAUACACAUGAAUAAUUAAUUGGAAAAAUGUAAAUAUAAACAGUAUGAGUGAUCAAUAAGUAUGUUAGAGUUAUCCUGAAAAGAAAAUAAAGACUAUCUGAACUCUGAUGAAA